GACGAACGCUGGCGGCGUGCUUAACACAUGCAAGUCGAACGGAAAGGCCCUGCUUUUGUGGGGUGCUCGAGUGGCGAACGGGUGAGUAACACGUGAGUAACCUGCCCUUGACUUUGGGAUAACUUCAGGAAACUGGGGCUAAUACCGGAUAGGAGCUCCUGCUGCAUGGUGGGGGUUGGAAAGUUUCGGCGGUUGGGGAUGGACUCGCGGCUUAUCAGCUUGUUGGUGGGGUAGUGGCUUACCAAGGCUUUGACGGGUAGCCGGCCUGGGAGGGUGACCGGCCACCUUGGGACUGGGAUUCCGCCCAGGCCCCUUCGGGAGGGAGCCGGGGGGAAUAUUGCACAAUGGGCGGAAGCCUGAUUCAGCAACGCCGCGUGCGGGAUGACGGCCUUCGGGUUGUAAACCGCUUUCGCCUGUGACGAAGCGUGAGUGACGGUAAUGGGUAAAGAAGCACCGGCUAACUACGUG
rnacentral:rRNA from 1 species